UGCCUACGGGAGGCAGCAGUGGGGAAUAUUGCACAAUGGGGGAAACCCUGAUGCAGCGACGCCGCGUGAGUGAGGAAGUAUUUCGGUAUGUAAAGCUCUAUCAGCAGGGAAGAAAAUGACGGUACCUGACUAAGAAGCCCCGGCUAACUACGUGCCAGCAGCCGCGGUAAUACGUAGGGGGCAAGCGUUAUCCGGAUUUAUUGGGUUUAAAGGGUGCGUAGGCGGACUGUCAAGUCAGCGGUAAACUACGGGGGCUCAACCUCCGCCCGCCGUUGAAACUGACGGUCUUGAGUGGGCGAGAAGUG
rnacentral:rRNA from 1 species